AUGUGUGCACGAUAUCAAGCGGCCCCUAAAGAAUGUUAUCUUAAGGCCGUGAAAAGGAUUGUGAGAUACUUAAUUCAUACACCAAACUUUGGCAUUUGGUAUCCAAAGAGGGCCUCCUUCAAUCUUGUUGGCUACUCCGACUUGGACUAUGCCGGUGACAAGGUUGAUAGAAAGUCCACUUCGGGUACUUGUCAAUUUCUUGGUAGAUCUCUUGUGUCUUGGUCCUCCAAGAAACAAAACUCGAUAUCCUUAUCCACCGCCGAAGCGGAAUACAUUGCCGCUGGUUCAUGUUUUGCUCAAUUACUUUGGAUGACCCAAACUCUUAAAGAUUAUGGGAUAUAUGUGAAACAUGUUCCUUUGCUUUGUGACAAUGAAAGUGCUAUUAAGAUUGCUCACAAUCAUGUGCAACACUCUCGAACUAAGCACAUUGAAGUUCGUCAUCAUUUCAUUCGAGAUCAUGUUGCUAAGGGUGAUAUUAACCUUAAGCAUGUUCGCACCAACAAGCAAUUGGCAGAUAUAUUCACUAAACCACUUGAUGAGAAAGUGUUUUGCGGGUUGAGAGGUGAAUUGAACAUCAUUGAUGCCUCAAACUUGGAGUAG
rnacentral:rRNA from 1 species